CUGGUUUGGAGGAGAUGGGGCAGAGAGGCAAAGAGGAGCCCUUCCAGUAGAGGGAACACUCAGCAAGUUUAAAUGUUGCACUAUGCCUGAUACUGGUAGCAGAGAAGAAGAGUGGAGACGUGCAGAAGCAGAGACUAGUCAGCAGAAUCUUCUUUUAACAACCAGAUUUAUAUAGAAAAUGAUAUUACUGAACAGUCGUCAUGUGAAGAUGAACAUACAAAGAACACACAACCAAAAGGAGUUCGGGCACUAACUGUUGGCCACCUGAACUCUGCGUCUGUCAUCCCAACUGGAAUCUGUGCAAACCUCCCCACAGCAAUAUUUGGAUGGAAAUUACAAGCAUCUAGAAAGCAUUUGUCAUUAAAACCGUCAAGAAAGGUUCCAGAUGCCAUCAGGAUGCUGGCCAGGCUUCCCUGGAUUGAAGACCCCACCAAUGUGUCCUGGAGCUCCGCUUCCCCAGAGACACAUCCUACUAGGGAAAGAGAGAGGCAGACUGGGAGUAUGGACCGACCAGUCAAUGCCCAUGUUCAGCGGGGAAGCAGUUACAGAAGCCAGACCUUCUACCUUCUACAACCCACAAUGACCCUGGGUCCAUGCUCCCAGAGGGAUAGAGAAUGGGAGGGCUAUCAGGGGAGGGGAAGGGAUAUGGAGAUUGGGUGGUGGGAAUUGUGUGGAGUUGUACCCCUCCUACCCUAUGGUUUUGUUAAUUAAUCCUUUCUUAAAUAAAAAAAUUGAAUAAAAUAAAAUAAAAUAAAAAUCUGAAUAAAAAAACUUAAAAAAAAAAGAAAUGAUGAGUCAGUGCUGAAGGUCUCUCUUUCCUUCUCUAUCUCCCCUUCACUCUCAAUUUCUCUCUGUCUCUAUCCAAUAUAUAUAAAUAUUAAAAAAACAAAGACUAAACUAAAAUGAAUGUCAAAGAGGCCACCUAGAGCCUUGAAAUCUGUCUUAAUGACUGGAAAGUUUCCUCACCUCCCCAGAAUCUCACAGAAAAAGUUAGUCACAGCUUGAUUUUUUUCAUGAAUGACAGAGCUUUUCA